GCUACCCAGCAAUGGGNUGCGAAUCUCGAAAGCCUGUCUCAGUUCGGAUUGGAGGCUGAAACCCGCCUCCAUGAAGUUGGAUUCGCUAGUAAUCGCGCAUCAGCCAUGGCGCGGUGAAUACGUUCCCGGGCCUUGUACACACCGCCCGUCAAGCCAUGGGAGCCGGGGGUGCCUGAAGUUCGUGACCGCAAGGAGCGACCUAGGGCAAAACUGGUGACUGGGGCUAAGUCGUAACAAGGUAAC
rnacentral:rRNA from 1 species